AGUAUGAAUUGCGCAAUGACCGGAAGUCUGAGAUUCUUGAUGUGUCUAUUGUCUUCCCUUAUAACAAGCAGUUAGUGUUUAAGUCUAUAAAAGGUAAUUGAACCUUUCUCCAGGUGGAAAAGUCCCUGAACUCCACCAAAAAUUACCCCUGAGAGCUCAUUUUCAAAAAUGCAGUUUGAAAUGAAGGAAGUUAAUAGUAGAUGUUUUUAUUACUUUAAACUAACCAGAAUAUGCCAAAGUUUCUCUGGUAAAAAUUUGACCAACAUGAAAGCUCAGAAAAGUGUAAGAUUUGUGUCAGAAAUGGUCAUUGUCUCAAAUAUUCAGGUUAAACAGUUAGUUUGUAAAUAUCUGCUUGUAGUAAAUAGAUCUUGGACCUUAAAAAUGUUUUUAAAAAAUUGAGCGGCAACCAAAUGUGAGAUUUUGGGGCCCCACAGCGCCUCCCUUAAUAAAGUCACACAAUAUUUGACAACUGAUUCAGAAUCUAUGACCAAGAAUCUAAAAUAAUACACAUUUUUAUCUUCCCAGCUCUAUUUUUUAUGAAGUUAUGGUCUCUCAAACAUGAUUAUAAAUUAAGCUUUCCGAAAAAGAAAGCAUGGCCCCAAAAUUUCAUACUCAACUGGCCAUAACUCAGGAAUGACUGAAGAUUCUUUCAUUUGGUAAUUUUAGAAAUUGUUUUGAUUUUUUUUUUUUUUUUAGCCAAAUCUGAGAUGGCUCACAGGGGAGAUUCCUUGAAAACUUCGGAUUUUGUACGGUCUGACCCAAAUGUAACUUAUCUGCCCCAAAAAUACACCAAGAUUGAAUGUUUACCUUCCUGGACCUGGACCUCACCCACCUACAGUUGUCAAGGAUUCAAAAUGCUUCACUGUGGGACAUUUUCAGGUUAUCUCAAAAUGAGGCUAAACCAAAACCCAUUCACAGAAAAUGGGGAAACCUGCACGAGUUUAAAGAUUCACAUUCAGAAUACUUUGUUCUUGUUUAAACCAAGAGAAACUCCUUGGUUGAUUUUGGACCAAACCGAACCCUACUGCUUGGUGAAAACAAAGGCGUCCUAAAAAUCUACGCAUCUAAAACUGUAGGAAACGUGAGGUAUUAUUAAAACUUUACUACAAUCAGACGUGGGUCAGUUUUGCAGCGACACUAUAUUUUUGUCUUUGCAGAACGUGUGCUUAAGAAUCUGUUAUGCAAAUGUUCCUCAGAUGAAAACGAGACGAGGUUUGAGGCGACGGCGCUUUUUACGAAGUGCAGAAAAAGCAAAAACAGGAAGGAGGAGCCGUGUGAAAAGCAAUAGGAGCAUAAGACUCACUUCUAUUUACAAACGUGUGUAGAAAUGUGCCGAGAGACGCCGUUCAGACAACAACACCGCGGCAUGGAGAAUAUUGGAUCGGUUUGUCAUGUGUUCAUUCGUUUUUCAAAAAUAAAACCAAAAAUAAGAAAAUGAAGAAAGAAACAACUAUUUUCUUCAUUAUUUGUCUCCAAAACCAAAAAGAAAAAGUUUUUGAUUUUGUGUUUAAAUGAAAAAUAGAAAAAACUGAUAAAGACCGUUUCCCAUUUACGAGACCGGGACUGAGACCGGGACUGAGACCGGGACUGAGACCGGGACUGAGACCGGGACUGAGACCGGGACUGAGACCGGGACUGAGACCGGGGCCUGAUAUCGGGACCAGACUAGGACCGGAUCGGGACCUGACUGGAACCGACACAAGGAUCUGGUUUAGCCCUGGCUCAAUUCUGGUUUAGAUCGGGUUUAGUCCCGGUUUAAGCCCCAGUCUCAGUCCCGGUCUCAGUCCUAGUCUGGUACUGGUCUGGUCCCAGUCUUUGUCCUGAUCUACGGUCUAUGCGGCUGCACCUGCGGGGACAUCUGGACACUCCUUGUUCAGUCCUGGUUUAGACCUGCUUCAGUCCUGGCUCAGUCCUGGCUCAGUCCUGGCUCAGUCCUGCCUCAGUCCUGCUUCAGUCCUGCUUCAGUCCUGGUUCAGUCCUGGUUCAGUCCUGGUUCAGUCCUGGUUCAGUCCUGGUUCAGUCCGUAUGUGGCGCAGAACUCCGACGUCGCAGUUUAAAUCCGGAAACGCCCAUUUUUUCCAUUACCCUUUGAACACAAAAUCGAAAACUGAAAAAACGAAUCAUUAUUUGUUUUUUCAAUUUGGUUUUGGAGACAAAUAAUGAAGAAAAUCAUAGUUUUUUGUUUUUAUUUUUUCAUUUUCUUACUUUUGCUUUUAUUUUGAAAAACAAAUGAACGAACGAUUAAUUUUUUGGUACAUUUUUUUUUUAUUCCACACAUUUUCUUGGAACAGUAUUAACAGCAGAGGGGCCAAAACUCAAGUAAAAGUCCAAAGUAAUGGUCCAGAUACUUAAAAUUUGGGAAAAGUACUACUACAGUAAGAGUAACUUGAGAAUAAAGAGUCUGGACUUUACAUGUGCUCAUCUCGUGUCAUUUGAAGUAAACCUCGGCGUGUUUUCCGAACGGCGUCUCUCGGCUCGGUUACGCUUUGGUACAAUUUCAAACUUGAACUUAUCGUUUACAUAAAUCAUCUCGUUCACAUCCCGAUAAAGCUAAAGUAUUUAUUCCAUUGGUGGAAGCCUCAAAUCUCCUGUGCACUUUAGAGGGCAGCGCUGCAGAAAAACACACACACACACAGGGACAGACGACGCUCAGACCAAACCUCCUCUGCUCUGCUUCAACCUCUUUAAAACUGAAGAGUCUGGAAAAAAAGGCCCAAUUUUUUUUUUAGAUUUUGAGUCUAAAUUUGUAGAGAUGCAUUGAUUCAACACUGGUAUCAGAUAUCAGCCAGUAUCUUUUUUUUUUUUUUUUUUUUUUUGUCAGUAAGUUUGUGUAAUGAGACAGUUUGAUGGCCAGUUUGCUCAUAAGGAUUAAAUGUACCGUAAUUUCCGGACUGUUGAGUGCACCUGAACAUAAACCGCGUCAACUAAACUUUAAAUCUUUAGGCGCCAGAGAUUUUUUCCUAAAACGUUAGAUUUUUUGACAUCUUAGUCCUGGUUUAGCUCUGGUUUAGUCCUGUUUUAUACCUGGUUUAGUCCUAGUUUAGUCCUAUUUUCAUCCGGGUUCAGUCCUGUUUUCAUCCUGGUUCAGGCCUGGUUUAGACCUGGUUUAGAAAUAGUUUAACGUGAAUGAAAAAUGUUGGAUUUUGACAUCUUAGUCCUGGUGUAGCCCUGGUUUAGUCCUGUUUUCAUUCUGGUUUAGGCCUGGUUCAGUCCUGAUUUAGACCUGGGUUAGUCCUAUUUCCAUCCUGGUUCAGACCUGGUUUAUCUUAAAUGAAAUUCAAGUUUCUGCAAAGUGAACCGGUUGAAUCAGGGUGCUACUGCUCAUGUCUCCUGCAGAAAGAGCCGCUGUCCUUGAUUUCAUCAGAUUUCAGACUCUCUCGGGGGUGGGGUUAGGUGUAUGGAUCAGGUAUGAGUGGAUGUUCGACUACUGAAGUUUGAGACGUUUUUUUCUUGUCAUUUACACACUCACCUGAUUUAACACGUACGGAUUGUUUAGACAAAUCUCACUCACUAAUGUUCAUUUAGCUUAAUGUGAACCAAAAAUAAACAAAUACUCGUCCGUAUAUUCGCUGCAUCGUUGUUUAAGAUGCACGGUUCAAAGUGUGAGAAAAAAGUAUAGGCUUAUAGUCCGGAAAUUACGGUAUUAACAUUUUUCAGAGCUGUUUUGUACUUUAGAAAUGAUACAUAACAAUUAAAAACACAUUUGGAUCUGUUUUGUUGCCAGAGUUUAAAUGAAAAUGAAUUAUAUUUUCAGUCUCUGCCCCAGUAUCGGUUGAUAUCUGGUAUCAGCAGAGUCUUAAUGACAAAGUAUCGACAUCGGUAUCGGAACAGAAAAAGCCGAAUCGAUGCAUCUCUAAAAAUGUUUGUAUUUACAUUUUCAUUUUGAGUAUUAUAUUUAUUGAUUAGGAAAUAUAAAGAUGUUUAAAAGCGUAUUUACACCUGGGAAAGACACAUUUUUCCAUGUAUUUGAGCAAAGUUUAUCAGGUAUACAGACUUUAAUUUGCAAAUUUCCUGCUGGGCAAUGGUUUAAUUUGGGGAUUUGACUGAGGCCGGGAACUGAGGCCGGGAACUGACGCCGGGAACUGACGCCGGGACCAGACUGGGACUGAGAUUGGGACCGAGAUUGGGGCUAGACUGGGACUGACACCAGGAUCUGGUUUAGUCCUGGUUCAGUUCUGGUUUAGUCCUAGUGUAGUCCUGGCUCAGUCCUGGACUCAGUCCUGGACUCAGUCCUGGUCCCGGUCUCAGCCCCGGUCUCAGCCCUGGUCUCAGCCCCGGUCUGGUCUCAAUCUGGUCCCAGUUUCAGUCUUGAUCAGUCUACGCGGGUUCAUCUCCAGGCCCGUCCCGACACUCCUGGUUUAGUCCUGGUUCAGUCCUAGUUCAGUCCUAGUUCAGUCCUGGUUUAGACCUGGUUCAGUCCUAGUUCAGUCCUAGUUCAGUCCUGGUUCAGUCCUGGUUCAGUCCUGGUCAGUCCUAGUUCAGUCCUAGUUCAGUCCUAGUUCAGUCCUGGUUCAGUCCUGGUUCAGUCCUAGUUCAGUCCUGGUUCAGUCCUGGUUCAGUCCUGGUUCAUGGGCAGAGCAGAGGAGCCGGACCCUCUCAUUGUGAAUACACCACAGUAUUUCCACACACUGUACUUCACCGCAGUAUUUCUAUGUAAAGUAUCAGAUUUUGGCAGCAAUAAUCCUCGAGCCUCUGUCCUCUCCUGCUCCUUCAAUGUGAACGUAGACUCGCUUCUGUAGUCCGCCGUUUUAGCGCUCGGAUCAUCUCCGGUUUAUAAGGCCCGGCACCGCACUGCAAAAAAUGAACGUCUGCAUGAGCUCAAACAUUUAAGAUUUUAUAGGAUUUGAGAUUUUUACAGGAUUUUGUUACAGUUUUCAAACUUUAAAGGUGCAUUGUGUAACACUUCUGGUGUUUUUUUUCACGGGGAUGUCUUUAUUUUGUCUUCCUAUGUUAGUUACAGGUCAGAUCUGUGGAGAGGCGAUCCCGCUCACAGUCAGAAUGUCUGUUUUCUAGGUAUUUUUGAGCUGUAAAACCACCUGUAAUUAAAUAAAAGUAGAGUUUAAUGUCAUACCGUGUUAGGUGAAGGACACCCAACCAAAAAAAUUACACAGUUCACGUUUAAUUGCCCAAAUUUGGUUCAUAGAUACUGUCCUGAGUUGAAUCUACAACCUAAAAUUCUCCUCUAUAGUCUAAAAACGAUCUGGACUUUACAUAAGCGUCACAAAAUCGCACUUUUUGCCAAUCGUCAUAUCAUAAAUAUUUAAAUAUAGCUGCUUUAAGAUUAAAUAUCGGUAAAAAAUGUCAUUUAUACUCCACAAAUUGUAUAAAAUAAAAUGAUUUGAAUCUACAUUUUUGUGCCACCAUUUACUUUGGACUGGCCUGCUGUCUUAAGGUUCGUUCACACCAAAGCGUCAAAUCGUCCAGUUUCUAUGUAAAGUCGAUGUGGACGCGCGACUAGAGCGUCCUGCGUUUUUGCGGCGCGUCUUCAGCGUCAGCGCGGCGCGAAUCUGGCGUCGACGCGGCGAGUCUUGAGCGUUUUGGAGUCGACACUCUAGAUGCGCGUCCAAGGUGUCAGCGUCAAGAAGUUGAAAAUGCUGAACUUUUCACAUCAGACGCGCCGCGUCAACCAAUCAGGGAUGAGUAUCCAGAGACGCAGCAACGUAAUGAUCAGGAAGAAAAACCCGAGAACCAGAACGAGAACCAUAAACAUGAGCGGAGAAUAAACAUAUACACCACAAUCACCGAGCCGAUCGCAAGGACUAGACCGGGACUGAUCCAGUGUCAUUAGUGGAGUAUAAAUAUAUAUCCGUCCCAGUCGUCGAGUCGAUCUCCUCCGCUGAUUUUUAUGUCAUAAAAACACUAAAGUCUCUCAGUCUGGUCUGACAUUGUUUUGGGAAAAGAGCGGGACCGGGCUCUUGUUUCCAGGGCAACGGACGUGCAUUAAGUAUUUUUCUCCCGUUUGUCCACGGCGUCAAAUACGCGCGUCGUGGGCGUCUGAACUCAAAUGCAAAGGCUCCAAAUAGAGACGUCCAGGCGUUUUUUGACGCUUUGGUGUGAACCGCCCUUUAAAGGUUCAAUGUGUAAAUUUUCUGGUCAUUUCUUUAGACUUUGACAAACUUUCUUGACCCACAAAGGAAAUUAUUUGGACACCGGAGCUCACAUAAAACAAUAAAUAUAAUAACAAAAAGAAAAAAAUAUAAAUGGUAAUAAUAAAUUCUAAAUAAGUAGCAAAAAAGAACAAGAGACUAGAGUCGAAUAAGGCGUAAUUAUAUAAAUGUGAAUGUCCGAAUGAAAAUAAAAUAGAAAAAGUAAGUAAUAAAUAAUUAAGAUGUUGUAGCUUUGCCCAGAAUGUUCCACAGUAUGGCAUUAAAGUCAAUCGUCUCAUGCACUGAUUCAAAUACAGGUGUUUUUAUCGCUCAGAAAUACCUCGAAAAGUCCGCAUUUGUACCGUGAGUGGGCUCACCUCUCCACUGAUCUGCCAUGUAUCGUGCCACAUAUUUGUUUUUAUCGAAAUAAGUAAGUUUAAUGCCGUAAUGUGGAAUAUUUUGGACCUGAAAACGUACACCGCGCGCCUUUAAAAAUACACGUAAAGCUUUAUUUUAACACAAGUGCCGCACAAAACCGAAACUUUUAUUUGUGGUUUAAAAAGAAAAAAAAAAAAAAGCUCCGGGUGAGUUUGUUGUGAAUUUCAGACUUUUUGGGCAAAUAAUCAAAAUUCGCCCCACAUAUCGGCCCAAAAUAACUGCAGAUUCUUUGGAUUCUGAACAGUCAGUAUCAGCGUUGACCAUG